AUUGAACGCUGGCGGCAGGCUUAACACAUGCAAGUCGAGCGGGGGAAGGUAGCUUGCUACCGGACCUAGCGGCGGACGGGUGAGUAAUGCUUAGGAAUCUGCCUAUUAGUAGGGGACAACAUCUCGAAAGGGAUGCUAAUACCGCAUACGUCCUACGGGAGAAAGCAGGGGAUCUUCGGACCUUGCGCUAAUAGAUGAGCCUAAGUCGGAUUAGCUAGUUGGUGGGGUAAAGGCCUACCAAGGCGACGAUCUGUAGCGGGUCUGAGAGGAUGAUCCGCCACACUGGGACUGAGACACGGCCCAGACUCCUACGGGAGGCAGCAGUGGGGAAUAUUGGACAAUGGGGGGAACCCUGAUCCAGCCAUGCCGCGUGCGUGAAGAAGGCCUUAUGGUUGUAAAGCACUUUAAGCGAGGAGGAGGCUACUCUAGUUAAUACCUAGGGAUAGUGGACGUUACUCGCAGAAUAAGCACCGGCUAACUCUGUGCCAGCCGCCGCGGUAA
rnacentral:rRNA from 1 species